rnacentral:rRNA from 1 species
CAACGUGGGUAACCUGCCCAAGAGACUGGGAUAACACCUGGAAACAGAUGCUAAUACCGGAUAACAACACUAGACGCACGUCUAGAGUUUAAAAGAUGGUUCUGCUAUCACUCUUGGAUGGACCUGCGGUGCAUUAGCUAGUUGGUAAGGUAACGGCUUACCAAGGCAAUGAUGCAUAGCCGAGUUGAGAGACUGAUCGGCCACAUUGGGACUGAGACACGGCCCAAACUCCUACGGAAGGCAGCAG